rnacentral:rRNA from 1 species
GUUGAACGCUGGCGGCAGGCCUAACACAUGCAAGUCGAACGAGUGGCGGACGGGUGAGUAAUGUGUGGGAAACUGCCUGAUGGCGGGGGAUAACUACUGGAAACGGUAGCUAAUAACGCAUACCAGCGGAUGGGCCCAUAUUGGAUUAGCAAGUAGGUGGGGUAAAGGCUUACCUAGGCGACGAUCCCUAGCUGGUCUGUGAGGAUGACCAGCCACACUGGAACUGAGACACGGUCCAGACUCCGACGUGAGUCAGCAGUGGGGAAUAUUGCACAAUUGGCGCAAUGCUGAUGCAGCCAUGCCGCGUGUAUGAAGAAGGCCUUCGGGUUGUAAAGUACUUUCAGCUGUGAGGCGUUACCCGCAGAAGAAGCACCGGCUAACUCCGUGCCAGCAGCCGCGGUAAUAC